rnacentral:tRNA from 1 species
GCCUGGGUGGCUCAGUCGGUUGAGCGUCCGACUUCAGCUCAGGUCAUGAUCUCGCAUUUUGUGGGUUUGAGCCCCACAUCGGGCU